GUUACGUAACGCUUCAGCGUCCGUCGGGAAGCAGUUGACAGCAGCAGACAAGAGCGGGCCGAAGUGGGUAAACAAAACAAACAUAUGAAAAAAAGAGCAAAGAAAACCGAACACUUUGCUAUAAUUUUAUAUCCGUAGGAUGUUUAACAUUGUUAUUAAGCGGCUUGAAUUCCGUUAAAGAAGAAAGUCUUUAGCAAAGGAGGGCGUGCACCUGCCAGAGCUAAACAGGUUAACCUAGCUAACGUGUGCUAGCAGCCUCUCAGGUUAGCAGGCUAGCCUUGCAGCCAUGUCGUCCCCCUCCUCCUCCCGGCGCCAGUGGUGCUACCUGUGCGACCUGCCGAAGAUGCCGUGGACUGUGGUGUGGGACUUCAGCGAGGUGGUUUGCCGUGGCUGCGUGAACUACGAAGGAGCUAAUCAGAUAGAGUUCCUCAUAGCGAGUGCCCGACAGCUGAAACGGACCCAUGGGAUGCAGGACGGUAACGUCAGGUCACCUGGUCCCUCGCCCAAUAAACACGGCACAUCUGGCAGAGGAGAUGCGGAGGGAGGCAGGCCGCACAUGGACCGCUUCGAAAGGGGAGGAAGAGGAGAAGUCACCGUGUCAGCUAUUCGUGUGCCCCCCAACGGGUUGCACCGUGACGGCCAGCCUCAACAAGAAGUAAACCGUCAGAGCCCCAGCGGGAGCAGAAGACCCAUGCUAGGCGCUACUAUCAAUCCUAACCUCGUAACUCAAAGUAUCGCAGGGAUUCCCCAUGGGCUACUUGCGGGCAUGACGGCGGGUCUGACCGCCAGGACAGCCCCUAUGAGUAACCCCAUGAGCAACCCCAUGAUCUUCCCUGCACCGGUGCUGUCCGAGAUGAGCCGCAGACAGCUGGGGAUCGGGAUGGGGAUAGCCCCUUUCAUCACUCCGGAGCUGGAGCGAGAGCUCAGUUCAUCCCUGAACCAGUCCAAGAAUCAGACGCAGAUCCACAGUGCUGUGGCUGGCAGCAGCUCCAGCAAGAGUUCAGGCCUCCCUUCGUCAUCCUCGACCCCAGCUGGAGGUGUGAGCCAGACCAGCCCCAAGCCUGCCUCAUCUCCAGCCAGGCAGCCACGUCCCCUAACCUCCAGGUCUGGAGGGGAACCCCUUGGAUCCAGCUCCUCAGCAGAGGCGGCCACCACAGCUGCAGCGUUACCCCACAGUGGUGCCUCUGAGCUGGGAUCAGCAUCUGCCAGCAACACCCAUUCCACAGGAAACACUCUGUCGUGCACUCUGUGUCAUGAGAGGCUGGAAGACACACACUUUGUACAGUGUCCAUCAGUGCCCGGGCAUAGGUUCUGCUUCCCCUGCACCAGAGUGUACAUCCAGAGCCGGCGGGGCGAUGGGGAGGUGUACUGUCCCAGCGGGGAGCGCUGUCCGUUGGACACGUCUCCCAACAGCCCCCCUUGGGCCUUCAUGCAGGGAGAGGUCUCCACCAUCCUGGGCUCUGGAGGAGCAGGAGCUGCAUCAGCUGCUGCUCCUGGAGCUGGGAACGGGCCCGGGCCGGGAGCUGGGCCCGGGGCCGGGGGCGGAGCUGCCAGCGGAGACGUCACUGUCAAAAAAGAAAGGGAGACGUGAUGGGGAUUUCCAUGGAAACCAAGCCAGGACCUAACACAGCAACAGGCAGGUCCACAGACGUCUGAGCAGCUGUACACUGAGAGCAGCUGGCAUAUCACAGCAUACCAGAAGGAGGCGUCUGCAAUGGAGCUCUGAGAGAUCCAGAGGAGAAGCACCACAGCUCAGAAAACAUUCACAGGUCUCGACUCCAACUACUCACACCACCAAAUUCUAUUGACUAUUCUAUCAAUGAUCAGACCUGAAAUGCCUGUAUGAUGUACUGUUGGAAUCAGAUAUUCAGGGCCAAUCAGCAGUGGCUACUUUUUGUCAAGUUACUUGUAGUUGUGCCAGUUGAAACAACUGAUCACGCCCACAUUAGCACUGCCAGCUAGCUACUGUUAGCAGCUGGAAAUCAAUGGGCUGAAGCAACACAUAUUUUUCAACAGGAGUUUUCUACAAUCCACACAACUUACAACUACAUUACAAUAACUCUAAAAAUGCUGUAAUGACAUUCAAUAUAUUCUCACUACAUGUUGAAUAAGCACCUUAAGAAACAACCAGUGCCAACAGGACUACUGAACUCUAUAUAUAGCUACUCACCAGUGUAUUCAUAUAUCAUUAUCAUUGAUUUGAUCUGCUAAAGGUAGCUAGCAUAGCAGCAGAAGGUAGCUUGUUAGCAGUAUAGCAAUGUUUUUUGUUUCAAAUUACCCUUCUUAAACUCACAGAGAGUAGCCAUGGUCCACAGUUUUUUGCCAGAAAGCACAAAAGCUUAUUUUGAGGAAUCCAACACAAAUGCUGUACUGAAAUAGCAGCCACGGUUGUUCUAUAUAUCUUUCUCUUGAUGAUCAAAUGUUUGCCGGCAGCAUGCAGUGGAAACCAGUUAGAACUAGCCAUUGUCUCUGCCAGUGCUUGAUCCAAACAAAACAUUUGUGCGUACUACGAAUGCAAUUCACGUGAACAACUGACCGUAAAAUCCAUAAAAUGGACCGUUAUAAUGAAAAGUGUACCUUAAAUUUGAAAGACAGAUGUAAUAUGUUUUAAUGUUAUAUGACUGAAUCUGUGUCCUGCCAUACAACCUUUUUUUUCCUAGAAAAUAGUAAAAAAAAAUCCUGUAAAACAACAUGAAAUAUGGACAUAAUGCCAGUAAUGACAUUUCUCUUUUUGUGUUUUUUGUUUUUUAUGUCGGCGUUAAAUAGAGCUGACAGUGACGCAGAGAAAGGAGAGUGUGUGGGAGCAUAGACCAGCCUCAGAGACUCGGUGUGUGUAACUGUAUCUAAAUGUUGCUUUCAUACAAGAUCCAGCCCAGCCUACGCUUUACCCCGAAUGUAUAUUGAAGAUAUCUAUUGAUAGGCCUAGGACUGUUUUAUACUAGAAUGUUCAAUGUUAGUAUAUACUGUAUAGAUCUAAUAGUUUGUGCAAUCCUUAGUCAUAUGCAAACGUUUGUAAUUAAAAAUGAUUGUUUAUCAUUUCUUAAAGAUUUAGUUCUUUUAAAAGUUAGAAUCCACCUAAAAGCAGAAUUGUUGUUUCUCCCAAUGGACACAAGACUUCCGAUCACAUUAUUGGAACGCAGUCCAUAUUUAAAAAUAUAUAUAUAUAUAUUUUCAUGGUUGAACUCAGCACAUGGUGACAUUAAUUAUCUUCAUUUGAAUAAAUCACCGUCUUCUGGAAUGUGCUUUCCAUUCACAUCCAUAGAACCAUUCAUGGAUGAUCACACAUACUGUAAAUCAGACUUUUUUUUGCCAGAGAAUGUACAAAUAUUGAAUGUUCAUGAAUUGAACAAUCCAAAAUUGGUCACAUUUUAUACAAAUUAGCUUUUCGGGGGAUUCUUUCUUUAUGCUCUACAUGUACUCGACAGUACAGAAGCACAGACAAACCAAAGGUAACUGUACGCCCAAAUUGAUGUUUCUGGAUGUAAAUGUUUUAUGGAAAUCUUUUCUUCAUCAAGCCGUUACAGUUUACAGGUCCACGUGGUCUACUGUAAUUAUGGGAUUUCAUAUUAAAAGUCUACAGUAUGCAGCAAAUACUGUUAUAUUGAUAAGAGUAUCCCACAGAUCAGGUGUGUUGAAGAAAAAAUGUAUUUGAAGAAGUGGAAUUUCAGUUUAAUAUGCACUGAUACGUCAUGCAAUCCCUUGUUAAGUGCCUUUUUAAAUGUUUACCGUCUGUUUGUGUGUCUGGGAACCUCAGGGGAAGUGCAGUGGCUUUUUUUAUUGUUUGCUCAAUGAUUAACCUGUGUCCCUGCUGUCGCCAUCACACGGCUCUGCUUUGAUCGGAGCCUUUGUAAAGGGGCCAGCCAUUCAUUGUCCUGAUACGGUCUCUCCUCACAUCUCUUCCUUUUUUAUGUGUCAUCUCUAGAUCUGUUGGCUUUAUUGCAGCUUCAUGUACAAAAUAGAAACCAGGAAUAAACGGGAUGGAAACUUG